CUUAUAUAAUUUUUAUAGUUAAUAGAUCUUCCCCUUACUAAGUGAAAGGAGUAUUUGUUUCUCCAUGGGGUGGGAACUCUUUGUACCAUACUGGUACUUUAAUAGAUGGUCUAAUUGAUAUCAACCCAAUUAAUUUACCAGGUCUACCACGUGUUCUAAAUUGGUUAGACAUUAUACCCAUUUGAAUUGCCUUCACUCCUGAGUCUCUGAGUGUCAGGUUCAAGCUGCUGACCGACGAGGUUCCUUAUGCUUGUGAACCAGUUAGAUUAUAUACACAUAUGAAUCUUCCCCAUAUUCGAAUAUCUGAAUGUCAGACUCAAGCUGAUGAUAUAUGAGGUAUGGUCCUCGCUGUAUCAAUCAAGUCCCAUUGAAAUAUUGAAACGUUGUUCAUACAUCUUUGAAUGACCUUUUAUGUGCUGACAAUAUGUUCUGAAA